rnacentral:rRNA from 1 species
UACGGGGGGGGCAAGCGUUGUUCGGAAUUACUGGGCGUAAAGGGCUCGUAGGCGGCCAACUAAGUCAGACGUGAAAUCCCUCGGCUUAACCGGGGAACUGCAUCUGAUACUGGAUGGCUUGAGUUCGGGAGAGGGAUGCGGAAUUCCAGGUGUAGCGGUGAAAUGCGCAGAUAUCAGGAGGAACACCGGUGGCGAAGGCGGGUCUCUGGGCCGAAAUUGACGCUGAGGAGCGAAAGCGUGGGGAGCAAACAGG